rnacentral:rRNA from 1 species
GACAGAGGGUGCCGAGCGUUUAGGCGGAAUCACUGGGCUUAAAGCGUGUGUAGGCGGACUUCUAAGUACCUUGUGAAAUCCCAACGGCUCAACCGUGGAACUGCUCGGUAUACUGGUUGUCUUGAGCCACUUAGGGGCAGUCGGAACAGACGGUGGAGCGGUGGAAAUGCGUAGAUAUCCGGAGGAAUACCAAAGGCGAAGGCAGUGUCCUGGCUGGCAUCUGACGCUGAGGCGCGAAAGCUAGGGGAGCGAACAGG